rnacentral:tRNA from 1 species
GGUUCUAUAGCUCAGAUGAAUAGAGCAGGAUUCUUCUAAAAUCCGGGUCAUGGGUUUGAGUCCCAUUGGAACCA